rnacentral:rRNA from 1 species
AAUGGGCGCAAGCCUGAUCCAGCCAUGCCGCGUGUGUGAAGAAGGCUCUAGGGUUGUAAAGCACUUUCAGUAGGGAGGAAAGGGUAGAKUGUUAAUACCUSAUAGYMAUGACGUUACCUACAGAAGAAGCACCGGCUAACUCCG